rnacentral:rRNA from 1 species
UACAGAGGUCUCAAGCGUUGUUCGGAUUCAUUGGGCGUAAAGGGUGCGUAGGCGGCGCGGUAAGUCGGGGGUGAAAUCGUGGAGCUUAACUCCGAAACUGCAUUCGAUACUGCCGUGCUUGAGGACUGGAGAGGAGACUGGAAUUUACGGUGUAGCGGUGAAAUGCGUAGAUAUCGUAAGGAAGACCAGUGGCGAAGGCGGGUCUCUGGACAGUUCCUGACGCUGAGGCACGAAGGCCAGGGGAGCAAACGGG